rnacentral:rRNA from 1 species
GAUGAACGCUGGCGGCGUGCCUAAUACAUGCAAGUCGAGCGAACGGACGAGAAGCUUGCUUCUUUGAUGUUAGCGGCGGACGGGUGGGUAACACGUGGAUAACCUACCUAUAAGACUGGGAUAACUUCGGGAAACCGGAGCUAAUACCGGAUAAUAUUUUGAACCGCAUGGUUCAAAAGUGAAAGACGGUCUUGCUGUCACUUAUAGAUGGAUCCGCGCUGCAUUAGCUAGUUGGUAAGGUAACGGCUUACCAAGGCAACGAUGCAUAGCCGACCUGAGAGGGUGAUCGGCCACACUGGAACUGAGACACGGUCCAGACUCCUACGGGAGGCAGCAGUAGGGAAUCUUCCGCAAUGGGCGAAAGCCUGACGGAGCAACGCCGCGUGAGUGAUGAAGGUCUUCGGAUCGUAAAACUCUGUUAUUAGGGAAGAACAUAUGUGUAAGUAACUGUGCACAUCUUGACGGUACCUAAUCAGAAAGCCACGGCUAACUACGUG